GAGGUAAGGGCAGUGGUAGAACAUCUGCCUUGCAUGCAGAAGGUCCCAGGUUCAAUUCCUGGCAUCUCCU